UACGGGGGGAGCAAGCGUUGUUCGGAUUUACUGGGUUUAAAGGGUGCGCAGGCGGAUAUGUAAGUCAGUGGUGAAAUCUCCGGGCUUAACCCGGAACUGCCGUUGAUACUAUAUAUCUUGAAUGCUGUGGAGGUAAGCAGAAUAUGUCAUGUAGCGGUGAAAUGCUUAGAGAUGACAUAGAAUACCUAUUGCGAAGGCAGCUUACUACGCAGAUAUUGACGCUCAUGCACGAAAGCGUGGGGAUCAAACAGG
rnacentral:rRNA from 1 species